CUUUAAGGCUCAUUUCCUGUCUUCUGCUGCUUAGCAUUUGUUGUUGUUUUCUUUCUCCAUUAUACCGCGGGGACUUCAGCUUUAUCGUAUCCGACUAUCACUGAUAUUGUGCCACUUCAAGAUGAGCAACUGAUUAUAGAGCAGAAAACAUUUAACGGGAAGGAACACCGAAAAAUUAAGAGCCAUGGCUCCACAGUCAGAAGGACCGCAGACGAACCUUUGCUGAUUGCCGUCCCCCGAGCUGCGCGUCUUACUCUGGUAAUUGUCUUGCACUUUGCCUACAG